UUCCAUGAAGCCGGAAUUGCUAGUAAUGGCAGGUCAGCAUACUGCCGUGAAUACGUUCCCGGGCCCUGUACACACCGCCCGUCACACCAUGAGAGUUGGGAAUACCCGAAGCCUGUGAGCUAACGUAAGUGGCAGCAGUCGAAGGUAGAAUCAAUGAUUGGGGUGAAGUCGUAACAAGGUAAC
rnacentral:rRNA from 1 species